rnacentral:lncRNA from 1 species
CCAUUUUUGGGUUCAAAUUUGUAAAUACUCCUGAAAAUGCAUGCAGAUCACUGCAAUCCUAUGUAUACACAAAGGCUGAGCGUACGUGCAAAUAUACAUAACAAUUAAAAAUAAAUCAAGAAUGAUUUAAAAUUCGAAAAUAACUUAUAUUUUUAUUGGCUCUCCUUCCUAAUUCUUUAAGGCUUCGUUUCGUUCGGGUAUAAAUAAGAACUAUUUAUUCCAGAGAAAAAUACAAGUUUAGCUAUAAGCGAGAACUAGACCAAUUUUACGUUUGGAUGAAAAUUAGGUUAUUUCGGAAAAUAAGAAAAAUAACGUUUAGAUAGGAAACAUGUAAUGAGAAGAAUAGUGGGUAGUUAUAAAUAGAAAAUAAUGAUAUUAUCCAUCUUAUUAUAUGUAAAUUUGAAUUUUUAAAUUUUACAUUUAUAAUUUAUGAUUUUAAAUUUUUAAAUUUGAAAUUAAAUUUAAAAUUUAAAUUCUUAAAAUUUUAAAUUCAAGACCAAAUUUAAAUUAAAAAAAAAUAAAAUAUCAAAUUAAAAUUUAAAAAUUUUUAAAUAUCAAAUAUUAAAUAUUAAAUAUUAAAUUUUAUAUUAUAAAUUUUAAUUUUGAGAUUAUAAAUUUUAAAUAUUAAAAAUUAAAAUUCUAAUUUAAAAUAAAAUUCUU